rnacentral:rRNA from 1 species
GACGAACGCUGGCGGCGUGCUUAACACAUGCAAGUCGAACGGAAAGGCCCCUUUGGGGGUACUCGAGUGGCGCACGGGUGAGUAACACGUGAGUAACCUGCCCUUGACUUCGGGAUAACUUCAUGAAACUGGGGCUAAUACCGGAUAGGAAUCCUUGCUGCAUGGUGGGGGUUGGAAAGCUUCGGCGGUUUUGGAUGGACUCGCGGCUUAUCAGCUUGUUGGUGGGGUAGUGGCUUACCAAGGCUUUGACGGGUAGCCGGCCUGAGAGGGCGACCGGCCACAUUGGGACUGAGAUACGGCCCAGACUCCUACGGGAGGAAGCAGUGGGGAAUAUUGCACAAUGGGCGGAAGCCUGAUGCAGCAACGCCGCGGGCGGGAUGACGGCCUUCGGGUUGUAGACCGCUUUCAGCAGGGGCGAAGCUUGUGGUGACGGUACCUGCAGAAGAAGCACCGGCUAACUACGUG